CCCCUCUCAGGAUUGCACCUGGAGAGUUUCCAGUAUUCUACUAGUCUCGACUACAGGAGGGAAAGUCAAGCAGAGGCAUACCCAUUCCAUUCCUAGGUUGGGCAGUGGCUAGAGAGUGGAAGACAAUCUGCUAAAAGU